AACCGUUCAGGGGUAAACCUGAGAAACCCGAAAGGUCGAAAGAGGAAAUUUCAUUCGCGUCUCGACUGUCGAAGUUAAACGUUUGCAAGACGGAUAUUGCUUUCGCAUCGUCCGCUCUUACGUUCAUCGUGUCGAUGUCGAACGCGUGCACUUUUCCUCUAGUAGGACGUCGCGAUCCGUUGGGUGUCUGUCUAAGACUCGAGGUGGAGCCCACGUAAUUUUUAAUUAUGUGGACCCUCGGUGUUCCGACAGACUCGCUCGACGGUAUACUAAUGGCGCGGGGCCGCUACAUAAGUUAGCGUUCGGCCCGUAUCAAGCACGUUCUGUGUUUGACGGCGAUCGGACCUGGUGCCGAUUCUGUCCCAGAACGACUGUUGGUUACGGUGUUCUCGAACAGACCUCGUAUGAAACGCCGAUCGGCGACGCUCUAGAUUUGGGUACUUUCAGGACCCGUCUUGA
rnacentral:rRNA from 1 species